AUUGAACGCUGGCGGCAGGCCUAACACAUGCAAGUCGAGCGAGCGGCGGACGGGUGAGUAAUGUAUGGGGCUCUGCCUGAUGGAGGGGGCAAACUACUGGAACCGGUAGCUAAUCCCGCAUACCCACAGAUGCACCCAUAUGGGCUUAGCGAGUAGGUGAGGUAAGGGCGCACAGAGGCGACGCUCCCUAGCUGGUCUGAGAGGAUGAUCAGCGACACUGGGACUGAGACACGGCCCAGACGCCUACGGUAGGCAUCAUGGGGGAAUAGUGGACAAUGGGCGCAAGCCUGAUGCAGCCAUGCCGCGUGUAUGAAGAAGGCCUUCGGGUUGUAAAGUACUUUCAGUCGGGAGGCGUUAUCGACAGAAGAAGCACCGGCUAACUCCGUGCCAGCAGCCGCGGUAAUUC
rnacentral:rRNA from 1 species